AACGAACGCUGGCGGCAGGCCUAACACAUGCAAGUCGAGCGAGACCUUCUGGUCCAGCGGCGGACGGGUGAGUAACGUGUGGGUACGUGCCCUUUGGUUCGGAAUAGCCCCGGGAAACUGGGAGUAAUACCGGAUAAGCCCUACGGGGGACAGAUUUCUCAACAAAGGAACGGCCCGCGUUGGACUAGGUAGUUGGUGGGGUAAUGGCCUACCAAGCCGACGAUCCAUAGCUGGUUUGAGAGUAUGAUCAGCCACACUGGGACUGUGACACGGCCCAGACUCCUACGGGAGGCAGCAGUGGGGAAUCUUAGACAAUGGGGGAAACCCUGAUCUAGCCAUGCCGCGUGCGCGAUGAAGGCCUUAGGGUUGUAAAGCUCUUUCAGUGGGGAAGAUAAUGUCUGUACCCACAGAAGAAGCCCCGGCUAACUCCGUGCCAGCCGCCGCAGUAAGAC
rnacentral:rRNA from 1 species